CCAUUGACUUUAAAGUCAUAAAAUCAACUUAUAAUUAUCUCCAAGACUAAAAAAAGAUAAGCUGAUAAAUGUGGAAAAAGGACCCGACAAUGAAUUUGGGUUUGGGUUUCUGCCUCUCAUCAAAUCAUUCUCAGACUCUGUCCGUUCGGAAACACUUCAGAAGGAAAAAGCUUUGGCGUGAAAGUUCGUGACACCUGUUCGGCAUUGAGAGUUAUUUUCAGGUGAUGUUCGGAGUCUCACGACCUCUUCGAGGUAUUCGUCAAAGGCGUUUGGGUGAGCUAUUUGAGAUCUUGCAACCCAGAGUCUCUCCUUAGAUUUAUGUUGUUCUCUAUCCUUAAACAGAAGUCGUAUCCAGUUUGAGUCUGUUAUCUACUUCAAAUUGUAAACUUCUUAGAAGCUCUUGUAUGAGUCUAGACCAGGUUUUGGGAAUUUCUUGUAAUAAAAGUAUUUAUUUCGCAUGUUGUAUCAAAUUAAGGUAGUUACCUGAA